rnacentral:lncRNA from 1 species
UUGCACGUGUGAAUAAAUCUUAAAGAUUUUUUUUUUCUUCCUUAUUUCUUCGUUGUUUUAUUUGCUAGCAUGCCUGAUCUCCGUUUGGAGAUUGUUAUCUAAUGUCCUAUCUAUUGAUUGUUGAAAAAAGAAUGUGAUCUAUGUUAAUUUUUUCACCAUGUUUAUCAAUAAGCAUGCAUGCCAUAUGUAGAGCAUUUUUGAUAUUAUGUUGUUUCAAGGGGGCAUCAAAAGAGACAUUAGGUUCCGGCAUGAGUU